UACGUAGGGUGCAAGCGUUAAUCGGAAUUACUGGGCGUAAAGCGUGCGCAGGCGGCUUUGCAAGACAGAUGUGAAAUCCCCGGGCUCAACCUGGGAACUGCAUUUGUGACUGCAUGGCUAGAGUGCGGCAGAGGGGGAUGGAAUUCCGCGUGUAGCAGUGAAAUGCGUAGAUAUGCGGAGGAACACCGAUGGCGAAGGCAAUCCCCUGGGCCUGCACUGACGCUCAGGCACGAAAGCGUGGGGAGCAAACAGG
rnacentral:rRNA from 1 species